UUAAGACUAAAUGAUGAAGAGCUCAUAGAAAUGAGAGCUAGGAGACAACCAGCAGUAUCAGCAUACCAAGAGUCUUAGAGUACAUGCAUAGAUUUCCAAAUGAAGCCCCUCUACUAAAGGUUACAAGUUCUCAGGCAGGCGCUUUUUCUGUGAAGAGCUCUGCUAGCUUACAUGAGGCUUCAGAUGGACACAAGUAUCCAAAACCAAGAUGCGCUACAAAUCCAGUAACAGCAGAAUUGCCUUUAAAUCUACAGAAUUCAAGAACAAUCAGGACUGAAGUAGGAACACAAUAAAGACAAGGGCCACUAAGAGCUGUUAACAGUGUCUUGAGAGUUGUAUAAGAGAAAAAUUCCAUGUUGUUUGUGUAUGCAAAGAAUAAGAACCAUUCAAAAAAAUACAGCAUUCUGCUAUAACUGCUUUAAGAUUCUGACCAGAGGCUAUUGGUUUCAAGAUCAAAUGUAACGUCUGAAGCUACAUAUAAGUUGCUAAGGCAGUUUGGCUGAUGCAUAUAGCAAAUCCCAUCCCCAAUCCUCGUGCUCAUUCCUAGUUUUCCAUUAGUUUGAAAAAGGUGGUCAACCUAAUCAUACCUACAGUAUGAUCUCUUUCAAUUAAAAUACCUGAGCAUACUUCAACUUGCCAUUGAUCAUUCCUGUACCAACAAGUUUCCAAAACAAAUGGGAAACAAUAGGCACUCUCAAAUAACACGGGCAUUUAAUUAGUUUUCUAAUCAGAACUGUUCUGUUGAAGCCUAAAAAUUGGAGAGGGCAAAGAGAGGGAGGGCAAAUCUCAUUGCUUCCAUUUGCCUUAGAAGAGUUGUGGUCUACAUCCUUUGUCCAGUGUAGUACUUAUCAUGAAGCUAAACAAAACACACUUGGUUCACAGAAUUGUGGAUUUAGCUGUAUAAUUGCUUGCUGGCAAUUUCUAGCAAUUUGUAACUGUUGUUGCCAGCAAGUGCUAACAAGCACCAGGAUUCAGAUUCCAACUAAGCCUGUCAGCACUUCAGUUUUUGGCAAACACUCCACAGAUAAUAUUUUAACACUCUACUGCAUCUGGCUGGGAUGGAGUUAACUUUCCCUGCAGCAGCCCAUACAGGGCUGUGCUGUGCACUGGUAGCCAGAGCAGCGCUGCUGUCCCAGCAGUGCUUGGGCCAUUGCUGAGCAGCUCUGGCACAGCACCAAGGUCGGCUCUCCAAACCCCCACAGCACGUAGGCUGGCACUGGGCAAGCGGUGGGGAGGGGACCUCAUCAGGAAAGCUGACCUAAACCUACCAGAGGGAGAUUCCACACCAAAUGU
rnacentral:lncRNA from 1 species